rnacentral:rRNA from 1 species
GAUCAUGGCUCGGGACGAACGCUGGCGGCGCGCCUAACACAUGCAAGUCGAACGAGAGAGAAGGAGCUUGCUUCUUCGAUCGAGUGGCGAACGGGUGAGUAACGCGUGAGGAACCUGCCUCAAAGAGGGGGACAACAGUUGGAAACGACUGCUAAUACCGCAUAAGCCCACGGGUCGGCAUCGACCUGAGGGAAAAGGAGCAAUCCGCUUUGAGAUGGCCUCGCGUCCGAUUAGCUGGUUGGUG